UACGUAGGGAGCAAGCGUUGUUCGGAUUUACUGGGCGUAAAGGGCGCGUAGGCGGCGCGGUAAGUCACUUGUGAAAUCUCUGAGCUUAACUCAGAACGGCCAAGUGAUACUGCAGUGCUAGAGUGCAGAAGGGGCAAUCGGAAUUCUUGGUGUAGCGGUGAAAUGCGUAGAUAUCAAGAGGGACACCUGAGGUGAAGACGGGUUGCUAGGCUGACACUGACGCUGAGGCGCGAAAGCCAGGGGAGCAAACGGG
rnacentral:rRNA from 1 species